GUAGGAAUUUGAGAGUUCUGAUAAUUUAAAAACGUUUCUGGUGAAUAAAACAGCAGAUUAAUGAGAUUAAUGUUGAUAAAAAUCAGGGAUUAGAAUGUAAAAGAUCAUGACCAUCAAAAUACAAAGAGGUGGGAAUUAGUGAUCGGUGAACAAAAAUAAUAAUAAUUAAUGGAUUUGAAUGUUGUGUUUAUGAUAUUCCAAGUAGCAUUAAAGAAAAGGAAAAAAUCAAGUGCGGCGCAUAGAAGGUUUAAAGGGCCCAAUUGUGACGUGGCACUGUGAGAACCACAGACAAAGAGUAAACAAAGA
rnacentral:lncRNA from 1 species